GGUUAGAGGUCAAACAGCAUACACAGGGGCCACGUUACAGUUCAGAAAUAUGUUUUAAACCAUUUCACCUGCUUUUUAUAUUGCGUGUGUUUUGUUUUGUUUUGUUUUGCUUCAAAUAGAGUGAUCAGAUCAUUUUCCUUCAGAAAAUACAUUACUGCAACAUGUUUAGGUCUACCAUAGGAAGAAUGUAGGCAGCUACAUUUCCUAAUGUUUAGGCCUACCAUAGGAAGAAUGUAGACAGCUACAUUUCUAAUGUUUAGGUCUACCAUAGGAAGAAUGUAGGCAGCUACAUUUCUAAUGUUUAGGCCUACCAUAGGAAGAAUGUAGGCAGCUACAUUUCUAAUGUUUAGGUCUACCAUAGGAAGAAUGUAGACAGCUACAUUUCCUAAUGUUUAGGCCUACCAUAGGAAGAAUGUAGACAGCUACAUUUCUAAUGUUUAGGUCUACCAUAGGAAGAAUGUAGGCAGCUACAUUUCUAAUGUUUAGGUCUACCAUAGGAAGAAUGUAGGCAGCUACAUUUCUAAUGUUUAGGUCUACCAUAGGAAGAAUGUAGACAGCUACAUUUCCUAAUGUUUAGGCCUACCAUAGGAAGAAUGUAGACAGCUACAUUUCUAAUGUUUAGGUCUACCAUAGGAAGAAUGUAGGCAGCUACAUUUCUAAUGUUUAGGCCUACCAUAGGAAGAAUGUAGGCAGCUACAUUUCUAAUGUUUAGGUCUACCAUAGGAAGAAUGUAGGCAGCUAUAUUUCUAAUGUUUAGGUCUACCAUAGGAAGAAUGUAGGCAGCUAUAUUUCUAAUGUUUAGGCCUACCAUAGGAAGAAUGUAGACAGCUACAUUUCUAAUGUUUAGGUCUACCAUAGGAAGAAUGUAGGCAGCUAUAUUUCUAAUGUUUAGGCCUACCAUAGGAAGAAUGUAGACAGCUACAUUUCUAAUGUUUAGGCCUACCAUAGGAAGAAUGUAGACAGCUACAUUUCUAAUGUUUAGGCCUACCAUAGGAAGAAUGUAGGUAGCUACAUUUCUAAUGUUUAGGUCUACCAUAGGAAGAAUGUAGGCAGCUACAUUUCUAAUGUUUAGGUCUACCAUAGGAAGAAUGUAGGCAGCUACAUUUCUAAUGUUUAGGCCUACCAUAGGAAGAAUGUAGACAGCUACAUUUCUAAUGUUUAGGUCUACCAUAGGAAGAAUGUAGACAGCUACAUUUCUAAUGUUUAGGUCUACCAUAGGAAGAAUGUAGACAGCUACAUUUCUAAUGUUUAGGUCUACCAUAGGAAGAAUGUAGACAGCUACAUUUCUAAUGUUUAGGUCUACCAUAGGAAGAAUGUAGGCAGCUACAUUUCUAAUGUUUAGGCCUACCAUAGGAAGAAUGUAGACAGCUACAUUUCUAAUGUUUAGGUCUACCAUAGGAAGAAUGUAGACAGCUACAUUUCUAAUGUUUAGGUCUACCAUAGGAAGAAUGUAGACAGCUACAUUUCCUAAUGUUUAGGCCUACCAUAGGAAGAAUGUAGGUAGCUACAUUUCUAAUGUUUAGGUCUACCAUAGGAAGAAUGUAGGCAGCUACAUUUCCUAAUGUCUUACAUUCAACAGGAGAAAAAUAGAGCGCUGCCUGCCGAUAGAAGGUAUCAGUCAGAGCGCUGAUAGAAGGUAUCAGUCAGAGCGCUGAUAGAAGGUAUCAGUCAGAGCGCUGAUAGAAGGUAUCAGUCAGAGCGCUGAUAGAAGGUAUCAGUCAGAGCGCUGCCUGCUGAUAGAAGUGGCUUUAUAAAAAGCAGCAAGAUCUUAUGCAUUUCAUCUUUUUUUUGUGUGUGAAAAGGGCAGAAUUCUGCAUUAACAUGACCCCUGAUACGUUACUGCUGAUAAUGACUAGAGGAAACUGAAACAUUGAAAACAGCAUUGGAACACAUGAAAAGCUGGUAAAGUUGUUUCUAGCUGAAGUAAGA